rnacentral:rRNA from 1 species
GAUGAACGCUGGCGGCGUGCCUAAUACAUGCAAGUAGAACGCUGAAGCUUGGUGCUUGCACCGAGCGGAGGAGUUGCGAACGGGUGAGUAACGCGUAGGUAACCUGCCUCUUAGCGGGGGAUAACUAUUGGAAACGAUAGCUAAUACCGCAUAAAAGUCGACAUUGCAUGAUGUUGACUUGAAAGGUGCAACUGCAUCACUAAGAGAUGGACCUGCGUUGUAUUAGCUAGUUGGUGAGGUAACGGCUCACCAAGGCGACGAUACAUAGCCGACCUGAGAAGGUGAUCGGCCACACUGGGACUGAGACACGGCCCAGACUCCUACGGGAGGCAGCAGUAGGGAAUCUUCGGCAAUGGACGGAAGUCUGACCGAGCAACGCCGCGUGAGUGAAGAAGGUUUUCGGAUCGUAAAGCUCUGUUGUAAGAGAAGAACGAGUGUGAGAGUGGAAAGUUCACACUGUGACGGUAACUUACCAGAAA